ensembl:snRNA
AGAAAAGGUGUCCAUCAUGUGUGGCACACAUAGGGCAACUUGUUCAGUCUGCACAUGGAAUUGAUAUCAAGAGAUUUCAGAAGCAUAAUUUUUUGGUACUUGGGAAGCUAGUGGUCAUUGAUCCUGACACCUUU